UGCGUAGGUGGUAUGGCAAGUCAGAAGUGAAAACCCAGGGCUUAACUCUGGGACUGCUUUUGAAACUGUCAGACUGGAGUGCAGGAGAGGUAAGCGGAAUUCCUAGUGUAGCGGCGAAAUGCGUAGAUAUUAGGAGGAACAUCAGUGGCGAAGGCGGCUUACUGGACUGAAACUGACACUGAGGCACGAAAGCGUGGGAGCAAACA
rnacentral:rRNA from 1 species